UAGGCGAAGGGGCUAGCGUUGACUCGGAAUCAGCUAGGGGCGUAAAGGCGCGUAGGCGGCCGUUCAAGUCGGGGGGUGAAAGCCUGUGGCUCAACCACAGAAUGGCCCCUCGAUACUGGAUGGCUCGAGACCGGAAGAGGUUGGUGGAACUGCGAGUGUAGAGGUGAAAUUCGUAGAUAUUCGCAAGAACACCAGUGGCGAAGGCGGCCAACUGGUCCGGUUCUGACGCUGAGGCGCGAAAGCGUGGGGAGCAAACAGG
rnacentral:rRNA from 1 species